rnacentral:rRNA from 1 species
AGUGAACGCUGGCGGUAGGCCUAACACAUGCAAGUCGAACGGCAGCACAGUAAGAGCUUGCGCUUACGGGUGGCGAGUGGCGGACGGGUGAGGAAUACAUCGGAAUCUACUUUUUCGUGGGGGAUAACGUAGGGAAACUUACGCUAAUACCGCAUACGACCUACGUGUGAAAGCAGGGGAUCUUCGGACCUUGCGCGAUUGAAUGAGCCGAUGUCGGAUUAGCUAGUUGGCGGGGUAAAGGCCCACCAAGGCGACGAUCCGUAGCUGGUCUGAGAGGAUGAUCAGCCACACUGGAACUGAGACACGGUCCAGACUCCUACGGGAGGCAGCAGUGGGGAAUAUUGGACAAUGGGCGCAAGCCUGAUCCAGCCAUACCGCGUGGGUGAAGAAGGCCUUCGGGUUGUAAAGCCCUUUUGUUGGGAAAGAAAAGCAGCAGGUUAAUACCCCGCUGUUCUGUCGGUACCCAAAGAAUAAGCACCGGCUAACUUCGUG